AAAAAGUUCAUUAGGGGGAUCAUAUAUAUGAAAGUUGGCUAAUACUCUCCAUAUGAGUGACACAUCAUCACACAAGAAAAUGACAAGUGUAAUUCUACAUUAAUUAAAUUAAAAAACUAGCAAAACUAAUUGAGAAAAAAACAAAAGUCUUUUGUUGUGUUAAAUUCUCCAUUAAUCUCACUCUUAAAUGAAUUUUCUAAAACCAUUCAAUAAAUAAAAAUUAUAAUAAUGUACCAAGCACAACUUUCAUUCUAUUCUAUUUAUUUAAU
rnacentral:sRNA from 1 species